rnacentral:rRNA from 1 species
UACGAAGGGGGCUAGCGUUGUUCGGAUUUACUGGGCGUAAAGCGCACGUAGGCGGAUUGUUAAGUCAGGGGUGAAAUCCUGGAGCUCAACUCCAGAACUGCCUUUGAUACUGGCAAUCUAGAGUCCGGAAGAGGUGAGUGGAACUCCCAGUGUAGAGGUGGAAUUCGUAGAUAUUAGGAAGAACACCAGUGGCGAAGGCGGCUCACUGGCCCGGUACUGACGCUGAGACGCGAAAGCGUGGGGAGCGAACAGG